AACUAGACAAUAAUUAAGAUAGUUGAAAAUGCAAUUUUAUAUUCAAGAUUUUCCUUGGUCAAGAGUGCAACAUGAGCUCUGGAUAUGAACUUAACUGUCAGAUGAACAUUGGAAGUGACAAGAUUUCUGCACAGAGAUUUUCCCUGGUCAAGAGUGCAACAUGAGCUGCUAUGGAUAUUAACUUUACUGCCAGAUGAACAUUGGAAGUGAAAAAGAUUUCUGCGCAUAGCCUUUCCUUGGUCAAGAGUGCAACCAGCCACAUAAGCUGC